rnacentral:rRNA from 1 species
AACGAACGCUGGCGGCAGGCUUAACACAUGCAAGUCGAACGCAUCGCAAGAUGAGUGGCAGACGGGUGAGUAACGCGUGGGAACAUACCCUUUUCUACGGAAUAGCUCUGGGAAACUGGAAUUAAUACCGUAUACGCCCUACGGGGGAAAGAUUUAUCGGGGAAGGAUUGGCCCGCGUUGGAUUAGCUAGUUGGUGGGGUAAAGGCCUACAAAGGCGACGAGCCAUAGCUGGUCUGAGAGGAUGAUCAGCCACAUUGGGACUGACACACGGCCCAAACUCCUACGGGAGGCAGCAGUGGGGAAUAUUGGACAAUGGGCGCAAGCCUGAUCCAGCCAUGCCGCGUGAGUGAUGAAGGCCUUAGGGUUGUAAAGCUCUUUCACCGAUGAAGAUAAUGACGGUAGCCGGAGAAGAAGCCCCGGCUAACUUCGUGCCAGCCGCCGCUGUAAUAC